rnacentral:rRNA from 1 species
AUUGAACGCUGGCGGCAUGCCUAACACAUGCAAGUCGAGCGGAUGAACGGAGCUUGCUCUUGGAUCCAGCGGCGGACGGGUGAGUAAUGCAUAGGAAUCUGCCUGGUAGUGGGGGAUAACGUCCGGAAACGGGCGCUAAUACCGCAUACGACCUGAUGGUGAAAGUGGGGGAUCUUCGGACCUCACCCUAUCAGAUGAGCCUACGUCGGAUUAGCUAGUUGGUGGGGUAAAGGCCUACCAAGGCGACGAUCCGUAACUGGUCUGAGAGGAUGAUCAGUCACACUGGAACUGAGACACGGUCCAGACUCCUACGGGAGGCAGCAGUGGGGAAUAUUGGACAAUGGGCGAAAGCCUGAUCCAGCCAUGCCGCGUGUGUGAAGAAGGUCUUCGGAUUGUAAAGCACUUUAAGUUGGGAGGAAGGGCAGUAAGUUAAUACCUUGCUGUUUUGACGGUACCAACAGAAUAAGCACCGGCUAACUUCGUG